UGUGUACUACUGUGCUGUGAGGCCCACAGUGACAGGAAACUACACAACUCUGUACAAAAACCUGUGGAGCAAACACACAACUCCUCAUCCUCCACUAGAGGGAGUCACUCACUGUUACUCUUACAACCUGAGCCACUGCACCAACCUCACAUCAAGUGAACUGAUUUGUUCCAAGAUGUUACGACACAUACACCAAACCAGUUUUCAGCAGAACCUCCACAGACUCCACAGAUUUUAGUUAAAGCCUCAAAUACCGAGUGUCUUCAUCCUCCCAUCACUCAGCAGCCUCACAGGAAGCAGCAGGAGAGAAGCUCACAAAUGACAAGUUCAGUGGAAAAAGACCAUUGAGAUCAAGUUAAUUAAGUGAGAUUCAACUGAGAAAACUUGAACAACAACAUGUGUAGGAAAUGUAAAACCAACUGGUCCAAUGUUUCAGGAUCUCAGAGAAUUUGGAAUCAUUUGAAUAUGAACGUUGAUGCUGUCAUGUGGCUUUUCAGACAAUAUCUUACAAGACACUUUAUUGUUCAGAAAUGUGUCACAAGUCCAAGAAAGAAACAGAAAACUGAUCCAAAGACAGGUUUGUGUGUUUGAGCUGAAAGCUGCAGAGUAAAGCGACGUGUGGUUUAGGUGUUGGUAACAAGCAGUGAUAUGAGAGGACGCACAGAGAGGGAGGAGCAACACUGACAAAGAGCAGAGCAGAAAAGACCUCCUGCUGUGCUGCAUUCAAUAUCUACAGCAGACCUCAGAUAGUGUCUGUAAGAUGUUCCCUCUGCGUCACGCUGGAGUCUGGCCUUUGUUUCUCUUCAUCCUGAAAGGUGUCAGCUGUGAUGAACUGACUCCAGACCAGACUGCAGAGUUCAGUGUAGAAGGCAGCACUGUUACUCUGUCCUACAAGUUCUCUAGGACAAUGACUGGUAAUGAUUAUUUCAUCUGGUAUCGACAGAAUCCAGGACAAGCUCCAGAGUUCCUCAUCUCACACUCUGCUUCAGGACAAAUACUAGCUGCUCCAACCUCUGGACUGAAGAUCCAAGUGGAGCAGAACCAAAUCCACAUGAACAUCUCCUCUGCUGCAGUGACAGACUCUGCUGUGUACUACUGUGCUGUGAGGCCCACAGUGACAGGAAACUACACAACCCUGUACAAAAACCUGUUGAGCAAAGACACAACUCCUCAUCCUCCACUAGAGGGAGUCACUCACUGUUAAACCUCAGUGGUUUUU